rnacentral:rRNA from 1 species
CACGGGGGGAGCAAGCGUUGUUCGGGAUCACUGGGCGUAAAGGGCGUGUAGGCGGUCAGGUAAGUGGGACGUGAAAUCCCUCGGCUCAACUGAGGAAUGGCACGGGAAACUGACGGGCUUGAGUUCGGGAGAGGGAAGCGGAAUUCCGGGUGUAGCGGUGAAAUGCGUAGAUAUCAGGAGGAACACCGGUGGCGAAGGCGCUCAUCUGGCCCAAUACUGACGCUGAGGCGCGAAAGCUAGGGGAGCAAACGGG